GGAGGGGGGAGACCUGUUGGGGCAGAACUAACCUAAAAGCAAACAUGUGACUUUAGGAUUCCUCAGACACACUGUAACUAAUUGUACACAGAGUUACAUCCUAGAAGAGUAGACAUUAGACACAUCUUACCACCAUCAUGCACAGUCUUUAACUUGUCUACCAACUCUCUUGUUGAAGCCAUUGGAAGCUAUGUAGCUUCCAGAGGUAUAAAUGUAUUAGUCAGUUAAACCCUGAUGAUAGCAAACACCAGCCAAUAUCUGGGACUUCAUAUACAUUCCUACAAAGUUUUCAAUGUAAUGUGUAACAUUGAAAGAUGCUAAAUUGUAAAUAGUUAUUAAUUAUGUUUCAGAAUUUGUACAUUGACACUACAAUGGUUAUUGUAUUGAACUAGAUAUCUUAAGAAUCAGAGGGGAGAUAGAAUUUUUGUUCAACAUAAUUGUUAAAUGAUUGUGUAGCACCAUAACAUGAUUGAAAAUGUCACAUACAUUCUGUCAAACUCAGAUGUCAUCAGUUUUGUGGAUCAGGAAACUACAGCUAAGAUAAGCAGAAGAUUUAUACUGUCACGUGAUCACAGAUUUGCAGUAGAAUUGGUUCUAGAGCCCUCUGUUUAAAUAAUACCCUGUUUGCCAGGCAGUGGUAGCGGACGCCUGUAAUCCCAGCACUCAGGAGGCAGAGGCAGGAGGAUUUCUGAGUUUGAGGCCAGCCUGGUCUACAAAGUGAGUUCCAGGACAGCCAGGGCUACACAGAGAAACCCUGUCUCAAACAAACAAACAAACAAACAAACAAAACAACAACAACAAAAAAAACAACACAGAAAACCAAACCUGUUUACCUUCCUUUUGUCUGAAUUAUGCUGCCACUGUGCCAGAAAUUGUUUUCAUUUUCUUUAGUCAUGGGACAUAACUUCAGAGUUCACAAGCAAACUGAUGGGUGUGUAGCAUUUGAACUCUUGGCCCAGAGCUCAAUGAAACAGCAAGACAGCCAGAGGGAGGCUCAGUCCCCAACCUUCACAAAGCCAAACUACACCUCUUCCUGGUGAUGGUCAGGCAAGAUAACCUGAGUUCAGUUGUAUCUGCAUCAAGGCUGUUGGCUAAUCCAAGCUGCUAGCUGUUUCCCUAACUGGUCAGAGGGAUGGCUAACCCAAAAGGCAGGCCUGUGGAGGGCAGGGGUAGGGCUCCAGUGCUGUCUUCCACAUGGAGCCUUAGAUCCUUAGACGUCACAAACCCUCCGGACUGCAGGGAAUGGGGGUCUGUGUGUGCUACAAACUCUCUUCCCCUCUGGAGACAGCAUAACAAUGAACACAACAACACAAAUAAAGACACUCUUAAAAUUGUAGAUGGAUUUAUUUUAUAUUAUUGGCCUGUAUCCUGCCUGCCAGAAAUGAAGAUACUCUAAAAGACACUUGUGUCACUCAAUCAGACUGCCGAAACAAUGAACCUCAAAGAAAUGGAAUGUCCCCAGGAGUCCCAUCAUGGAAACAGGAAAAGACUUCGCCAGUCCAGGAUACUGACUACCUGAAAGAGAGUUCACACAGUUCUAAUAACGAGUCAGACCACCUUGCAGGAUGAGACUGAAGCCCCGACCUGGACUGUCUGGAUGUGCGUACUGAAGCCCAUGCUGGCUGUCAGGCUGCUUCAGUAUCAUAAGUACCUGUUACACAUUUCAAAGUCCACACUAGUGUCCUAGCCUGUCUAACCUCCCCAGGCUUCCUUCCUCCUGGAUACCCAUUUGUUCUUUGUCAUGACAAGGUCUUCCCCUUUCCCCUGUUAUCCUCACUACGGUCUCUCCUCUCUCAGAGAGCCCUAGUCAGGUCUGGUCUGCUGGCCAUAGUUAGGCUACUGCUUUCUCUCUCUGCUCUGGAUUCCUCCCGAUGUCUCUGGACAAUUUUUCUCUCUUAUGAGCAAUAAAAACCUUAUUCUUAACCAGAC
rnacentral:lncRNA from 1 species